UCCUAAGCCAUGGCGAGUCGAAUGUAGCAAUACAUGGCGAACUGCUCAGUAACACGUGGACAACCUGCCUUAGGACGGGGAUAAACCCGGGAAACUGGGUAUAAUACCCGAUAGGUCUCGAUUGCUGGAAUGCAUCGAGAUUUAAAGCUCCGGCGCCUAAGGAUGGGUCUGCGGCCUAUCAGGUAGUAGUGGGUGUAGCGUACCUACUAGCCUACGACGGGUACGGGUUGUGAGAGCAAGAGCCCGGAGAUGGAUUCUGAGACACGAAUCCAGGUCCUACGGGGUGCAGCAGGCGCGAAAACUUUACAAUGCUGGCAACAGCGAUAAGGGAACCUCGAGUGCCAGGUUACAAAUCUGGCUGUCGAGAUGCCUAAAAAGCAUUUCAUAGCAAGGGCCGGGCAAGACCGGUGCCAGCCGCCGCGGUAACACCGGCGGCUCGAGUGGUAACCGUUAUUAUUGGGUCUAAAGGGUCUGUAGCCGGCCGGAUAAGUCUCUUGAGAAAUCUGGCAGCUUAACUGUCAGGCUUUCAGGAGAUACUGUCUGGCUCGAGGCCGGGAGAGGUGAGAGGUACUUCAGGGGUAGGGGUGAAAUCUUGUAAUCCUUGAAGGACCACCAGUGGCGAAGGCGUCUCACCAGAACGGACCUGACGGCAAGGGACGAAAGCUAGGGGCACGAACCGGAUUAGAUACCCGGGUAGUCCUAGCCGUAAACGAUACUCGCUAGGUGUCGGCCACGGUGCGACCGUUGUCGGUGCCGUAGGGAAGCCGUGAAGCGAGCCACCUGGGAAGUACGGCCGCAAGGCUGAAACUUAAAGGAAUUGGCGGGGGAGCACCACAACGGGUGGAGCUUGCGGUUUAAUUGGAUUCAACGCCGGAAAUCUUACCGGGACCGACAGCAAUAUGAAGGCCAGGCUGAAGACUUUGCCGGAUUAGCUGAGAGGUGGUGCAUGGCCGUCGUCAGUCGUACUGAANAUC
rnacentral:rRNA from 1 species